AUUUUCACAGUGCCCUGAAUAGCAGUGCUUGGUGUUUGAAGUCAUUAUUGUGGUUCAAUGAACGAGACUGAAGAUCUCAAUUAUUGAUGAGAAUAUGGAGCACUUGGAGUUCUUAUACACAACUAGCUGGAGUGCCAAAUGAGUACAAGCUACUUUGCCAGUGCCCUCCAAGCCGAACCUAAUCAACUAGUUGGCAAGUCUACUCCCAGGGGCAGCCUGCUGCCAGGUCACAUAGCCCUGCGGAGAGGCCAGCAUGGUGAGGAACUGAGACCUGCCAAAAAACACAGGAAUGAUCUUGGAUGUGGAUCCUGCAGCCCCAGAUGAAAACAUUGAAACUAAAGACUGAAACAUAUGCUGGUCAAAGUCCCAGCACUCUGAAGUAUUAGAGCUACAGCUUGAACCCAGUCUGUCUGGAGAGUUCCAGUGAGCCAGGCUCAGUCAAAACUUGAGCAUCAUAACAUCUCACCAUGAUGGAAUCAUGAUAGAAUCGGAGUUUUCGUACUAGAAGAAACCUUCCAGGUCAUAUAAUCUGCUGGCUUCCAAACACUACUCUGAAGACCCAUGUUGGUCCUGACAAGUUUUCACCAGUCUGUGGAAAGAUAAGGAAAAAAAAUAAGGAAAAUAGGAGAAUACAACAUUCUUUUCAUAAAAUUGAUUCACCCCAUUUGAAGUGAUGUCUUGUAUUCUGAUGUCUUGCUCUUCCUUCUUUUCUGGUGUCCUUUACCCUUUCCUCUGAGAUGAUUGUAAUGGUAAGUAGCCAUUAUCUCAAAAAUACCUAUUAAUCAGAUAACAAAGUUGACUGUGCUACAGUUAGGCUUCUGGUCUGUGGGUGUUUUGUGUGGUUGUUGGAUCUAUGGACUUCAAGGGUGGGAAAAUUACAGAUCUAGACCAGCUCCUUCAUUUUCAGACGAGGGAACAGAGACUCUGAGACAAUUUAUACAACUGAGAGACUCUGAGACAAUUUAUACAACUGAAGUUCACACAACUGGGAAGUUGGAAAGCUAAGACCAGAGCCUGGACUUGCUACUCCCUCUGCUUCAGGGCUGUGUCCUUCCCUAGCUAGAAUGUCAGUAUUAUUACCCGUUCUUUGGAAUGUCAGUAUUAUUCCCAUUUCAUGAGACUCUUGAAGAGGAAGGUAGUGGAGAAAAGGGAGCCUCUGUUUCUGGAGCAUCCUGAUGUGCCUGACCCAAUGCUGAUGCUUCAUGUGUAUUAUUUCCUUUAUUCCUCCAACAGCCCUAAAAAGAAGCUAAAAUUGAAAGCAUAUUAUAACUGAGGAAAACUACAUUAAAAAAUGUGAGCCAAUUUGACUCAGAAUCCAUCAAGCCAUCCUUCCGCCAACCUCCAUGUUGUCCAACAAGCAUUUGAGUGGCUUCCCUGCACAAGGGAAAUCUAAUGCUAAUGUAAUUGAAAGGUUUUAGCAAAUUAUAAAGUGAUAAAUGAAUAUCUGGUAAUUUUUUUACUAUUCCUCUCAACCAAUCCUAUGAGGCUGGUUAUUAUCUCCAUUUUAUAGAUGAGAAAUAAGCAAAGAGCAUGUAAAUAUUGCAGAGCUAAGGCUGGCUUCCUGACUCCUCAUCCUGGCCUCUGUGUUCUACACUCACUACGUUAGGGGUAUCUUAUUCUGUAGAAGAAACAUGGUGCACCAGAAACACUUUAGUCCACAAAGGAUUACAAGCCAAUCAGCCAUAAUUGUUGCUUUGAAAAGGCAGGAGCAAAAGAAGUUUGAUGGAGAUUCCAGGCAUGAAAGGGUCGUAAGUUCUGGGCUUUCCAAUACUAAGCUGUUCUCCUCCAGAUGAUUUUAAUAAUCUCCAGCACAUGUGUUCUAACCCCUUGAUGCUGUACAAUAUGUGUAACCAAAUAAAAGAUCUCUCCAGAUUUGGAGAUUUACUGUUUGUGAUGGGAAAAGGCCAACCAGAUGACAUCAUUUAUAUUCCAAAUAUGAGCUGCUGCCAAGGCUGGUGAUGUUAAGCUGGAGAAAUUGAUCCUCAACAUUAUUCUGUGAAGGAAAAAAGAAAAAAGAU